CUUUUAACCAUAGCUUAGUUGGUCUUCCCAUUUCUUUGGGGAUUAGUGUUCCCUCACUAAGCAUUGUUUUAAAUUAUGGUGUAAUUUUUUUCAAAAUCGAGUUUAGUAGUAUAAACAUGAAUUAUAGUAUAAAUAUGAGAUUUUAAAAAAUUUUAUUAUAAUUUUACAAUAUAUAAAUUCAGUCUAAAAAUAUUUUUCUUAUGGUGGUAUGCAGUGCAAGGGGAGCAGAUGAGCUUCCUUUGUAGUCUGUCUGGUUCAUCUCGUAGUACGCCUAUGUUUGAUUUUGGCCCAGAACAUUAAAAGAUAAUACGGCCUGAGCUGCAUUUGUGGCCCACUGACUCUUUUGCUAUUAUACGCAUUGGUAAAUUAACUGACCGGAGAGAAAGCAGCACAAAUCUUCUCCUGGAAGCCUCCCUAGUUCCUCCGUCAUUUCAGCACGCGUCGCUAUUACACUUUCCCAUCACACGCAAUAUGAGUGGCUCUAGCCACUAGGGUUUCAAAAUCCCCGCCAUUUUUGCUCUCUCUCUUCUCUCUUCCAAUGGCUAUAGAAGACGAGGACCAAGUAACAAAGCCGAGUGCAACUCCAGUCUCGCAGUCAAGUACCUCGCAUCCUACACAUCGUCCAAAUCCCGAUGGUAUGUCGCCAAAGCCGUUGAGCCCAAAGGAGUUCAUCCUUUCUGUGGCCUCUAACAUAUCUUCUCAGCCUCUCACUAACCCUGACCCUAAUGUCUGGGGUGUCCUCACUGCUAUUUCCAACAAUGCCCGCAAGCGCCACCAGGGUAUCAAUAUGCUUUUGACUGGGGAUGAGCAUUGCAUUGGCAGAUUGGUGGAGGACAUGCGUUUUCAAAUUGAAUCAACUGCAGUAAGUGGAAAACACUGCAAAAUCUAUAGGAAAAAUCUCACUGUUGAAGGUUUGGAGCAUCCAUCCAACCGCCAUGCAUCUGUCUUCUUGAAAGAUACAAGCACAAAUGGGACAUACCUUAAUUGGAAGAAAUUGAACAAGAGUAGUCCUGAAUUGAAACUCAAGCAUGGAGAUAUUGUAUCUUUUGCUGCUGCUCCUCAUCAUGAACUUGCAUUUGCUUUUGUAUAUCGGGAGGUUCUUAGAUCUACUCACUUGAUGGAAGGAUCGGUGGCAAAGAGAAAAUCAGAGGAGAUUGUUUCAGAAAACAAAAGAUUGAAAGGUAUAGGGAUUGGUGCUCCUGAGGGUCCUAUAUCUCUUGAUGAUUUUCGAAGCCUUCAACGUUCAAACACGGAAUUGAGGAAGCAAUUGGAAAGUCAAGUCCUUGUGAUUGAUACAUUGCGCAAUGAACAUCGAGCAACUAUUGAACAUCAUGAUAGUGAGUUGAAAGAGAUGAAAGAGUCUAUCACAAAAUCAUACCUUGAUCAACUCAAGGAGUUGCAACAUAUGUUAGAUGUUAAACAGAAAGAGGUGGUGGAAGUUAACAGAGUAUCAGCUGAACAAAAGCAUGCCUUAGAAGACCUUAGUGAAAGACUUUCUGCUUCCAGGCAGUCAUGUAUUGAAGCAAAUGAAAUAAUUAAGAGUCACAAGGCAUCUAUAUCGGAACUUGAGACACAGUUAGAAGAAGAGCGAGAUCAGAGAAGAGAAGAACGACAAAAGGCUGUUGCUGAUCUAAAGGUAGCAUUACAGAAAGUUCAGUCUGAGGCUCAAGAGGAAAUCAAACGACAGUCUCAUGCUGCCGCCCAACGUGAGAGAGAACUGCAAGAAGAAAUUAAUAAACUUCAGGAAAGGGAGAAGAAAUGGUGUUCACAAGUGGAAAGCUUGAGGCCCAAACUGGAGGAAGCCAGGCAAAAGUUGGUUAUCUCUGAUAAUAAAGUUCGCCAGCUAGAAGCUCAAGUUGGCGAAGAGCAACUGGCCUCUACAAAUGGAAGAAAAAGAGUUGAAGAACUUGAGCAAGAACUGAAACAAUUGAGAAAAGAGCUGGAGACGGAAAAGCAGGCGGCGCGAGAAGAGGCAUGGGCUAAAGUUUCUGCCCUUGAACUUGAGAUAAAUGCCACAGUACGAGAUCUUGACUUUGAGCGACGGAGGCUAAAAGGUGCUAGGGAAAGAAUAAUGCUUAGGGAGACACAGCUACGGGCAUUUUAUUCCACAACUGAAGAAAUUUCGGUACUGUUUGCCAAGCAGCAAGAACAACUGAAGGCAAUGCAGAAGACUUUGGAAGAUGAGGAAAAUUAUGAGAACACAUCUGUGGAUAUUGACCUGAAUCUACCUACUGAGAACAUGAAUGGCUCCUUAGUCAGAGAAAAAGAAAUGAAGGGGUAUCGAAGCAACAGUGGUGGAAAGGCUGGCUCUGCUACUUCAGCUCAGAGAUUUGAUGAAAAUCAGGUCGUUUCUUCAGGUGAAGCAAGUGUCACAGAGAAGCAUGAAUGUGAUAUCAGAAGUCAAGGAGAAGGUGAAUAUACUCAAGAGGAAUUCACAAGUGCCAAUCGUCAUGCUAAUGGUGGCUUUGGUUCCGACAUUGAUGGUAUUUUCACAGCACCUAUCCUGGAAGGAGAUGCAAUUGGCACAGAGCAAGUUCUGGAAACAGAAAGCCCUGGAAUUGAUGGUGAUCGGAAUGUUGAUAUGAACAAGUGUGGCUCAUUAGCUGGGGAAACUAUGCAACUUGAUGAUGAAGCCCAUUUACACGAAAGUGAUGAGCGUGUUCAGACAACUUCUCAGGCUGCUUUACAUACCUCACAAUCAGAUAAAUAUCUUGAGAAUCAGAAAGCCAUGGAAGAUACAGAACCAGGGGGCACAAUCAGAACAGCUGACCUUUUAGCUUCUGAAGUUGCUGGGAGCUGGGCUUGCAGCACUGCCCCUUCUAUCCAUGGUGAGAAUGAAUCUCCUACAAGUAGAGACAAUGACAAGAGAGGUGGUGCAGGGCUUCAUGAUUCUAAUGGUCCAGUGGCCGAGAGUCAAAGUACACCGACUUCUGUGGCUGCGGCUGGCAGAUGCAGUCAUCAACGUUUGGCACUGAAUGAGAUGAGUGGAAUUGUUGCACUAAGUGAGAUGAUUGGAAUUGUUGCUCCUGAUAUGAAGGAGCAGUUUCGUGCUGUGGAUAAUGAUUGUGAUGGAAGGAGAGAAAAAGAGGGUUCUACCUCAAACUCUGAUACUGAAGGUUGUGCCGACAGUGAUGAUAAUGUUCCAGAAUGUGCCAAAGGGGAGUCAAUUUCAGAUUAUGAGACCGAGGGUAGCGAUCAACCUGACGAGGAUAAAAAACACGAUGCCAUGGAUAAUAUGGAUGAAGAUGAUGAUACACAAGAAGAUUCUCUUCAAUAACAGGUCUGAAAUACAUGGCCGGAAACAUAGACCUAAACAACAGUUAGGUAUCCACAUUUUGCAUCUUGCCCACCACCUGAAAAGAAUGGAAAAACUGUAAUUAGUGUAUAUACAAGUGCCUUUCUUUUUUACAACAUUUGCAGCAAAAUUUGGAAGUCAGCAAAGCCAGCUAACUUAUGUUAGGGAAGGGAUAGAUCAGUCAUCAGGGAAUGUACAUCCUUUUUCAGUUCAAAGGCCAACCAAUUAAGUUGCACCACUGUUGUGCUGAGCGAGGAGCUGGGAGAAAUAAAUUGGCAGAGCAUUUGUUUCCCUGACCAAUUAGGGAAUUGCUACUGUAGAUACGAUGGCGGGUAAGCACUCAAUGGACCUAGUACAUUGGUCAGCCCCACGCUCCUAAAAGUUUCUUACGCAUUAUUAUUGUACGUCUUGCAGCUGGGAAUUUGGGAUCGUGAAAUCGUGAUGUAACUAAUUUGCUGGGUAGAUGGAUGGUGGAACUUUGGAAGUGGUUGAACUGGCAUCUUGUGGUUAGCUCCACUGCUUCCAACAGUAACCAUCCACUCAUUCAAGGGUCCCUGCUCUGUUAUUGUUCCACCGUUUUGUCUACCACUUUUUUCAUAUUUAUUGUUUGCCUACUGUAGCCUAUGGAAUACUCCCCCAUUUUGUUUCCCCGAAAAAGUAAAGAAGAGUGCUCCGAAUGUCUAAUGCU